GAUGAACGCUGGCGGCGUGCCUAAUACAUGCAAGUCGAGCGAACAGAUGAGGAGCUUGCUCCUCUGACGUUAGCGGCGGACGGGUGAGUAACACGUGGAUAACCUACCUAUAAGACUGGGAUAACUUCGGGAAACCGGAGCUAAUACCGGAUAAUAUAUUGAACCGCAUGGUUCAAUAGUGAAAGACGGUUUUGCUGUCACUUAUAGACGGAUCCGCGCCGCAUUAGCUAGUUGGUAAGGUAACGGCGUACCAAGGCAACGAUGCGUAGCCGACCUGAGAGGGUGAUCGGCCACACUGGAACUGAGACACGGUCCAGACUCCUACGGGAGGCAGCAGUAGGGAAUCUGCCGCAAUGGGCGAAAGCCUGACGGAGCAACGCCGCGUGAGUGAUGAAGGUCUUCGGAUCGUAAAACUCUGUUAUUAGGGAAGAACAAAUGUGUAAGUAACUAUGCACGUCUUGACGGUACCUAAUCAGAAAGCCACGGCUAACUACGUG
rnacentral:rRNA from 1 species